rnacentral:lncRNA from 1 species
GGUAGAGGCGGAGGCUGAGCAGGACCAAGACCAGGACUAGGACCAGGGAGAGGACGCGGAGAUGGGUGGGGUGAGAUCGAGGGGAGGACCCAGGAGGCGGCGGCGCAUAGGAGGGGCGCUGCAGCCAAGCCACCAGCCUAGCUGUAGAGUGCUGUACUCCACAUACUCCUGGAGAUCCAGCCCCGCAGAUCGCGCAUCCCUGCCGCCGUUCGCCUUUAGGCAUCCUAAACUUGAGCGGCAGCUCGGUUUCAACCGAUCGACUGCUUGCUUCAAAUCAGACAGCAUUGCGACCCAGACACCGGAGUCCGCCGAGUGAAAGCACAACGCAGAGUAGGACAAGACCAAGAAAACAGCCACGCGAAGCAGCAACUCUAGGUUGGGAGUGCAGAAGCCAACAAGUGAGAAGGCGCCGCGUUUCCGGGGCGCAGCUAGAAUGCUAGAGCAGGCGCCAGAGAAGACAGCUAGAGUCGGAAUCAGAGCCCAAACCUCUCUCCUGGAGGCGGCUCAGCUUCUUUCUUUUCUAGACCUUCUUCGGUUGCGCUGGGCUUCCUUUUAUCCGGGUAGGAGCCACAUCCCUGGGGAAUAUGCAGCGCGCGUGGAUCCUGCUCACCUUGGGCUUGAUGGCCUGUGUGUCCUCAGAGACGCAUUAUUUCAGUGCCCAUUCUGCACAGAAUUUUAGCUAUUUGUUGAGGUAAGAAAUGUCUUUUAUUUAAUUUAUAUUUUUCUUUAUCCACUAAAAACUAGCACCGAUUUGUGUGUGUGUGUGUGAGUGUGUGUGUGUGUGUGAGGGGGGGAGGAAGGGGGAGUGAAAGUGGAAUGGGGAGGGGGUGGGGGAGGGAGAGGUGGAGAGAGAGAGAGAAAGAGAGUGAGAGUCUGGGAGAAUAGUUAAAUAUUUGAUAAAGUAAUUAGAUAAAUCAAGUGUUUAAUUGGAACCAAGGUAACACAAGAGAUUGAAAGUGACUUGGUAAAACACACACACACACUCACACACACUCACACACACACACACUAUUCUGCAAAUUAUAGCAAGAGGAGAAACCAAAAAGUUACUUGGCAAGAUUCCUUGCCUGAAACUGGAGAGGUGGCUCAGUGUUUAUGAAUGUAAGCUGUUCUCAUAGAUGACAGAAGUUCCAGCACUCACACUGGGUUAAAGUUCCAGCACUCACACUGGGUUAAACUACAGUUUCAGAGGCUCUGAAAUCUUCUUUUUUGUAAAACAAAAUUUUACAAUAAAAUAAUCUAAAAAAAGAACAACAGAAAAAAAAAACCCUUCUAUCCUUUGGUUUCUAACAAAUUCCUUAUUGAUGUUGCCCAUGUUAUUGCUAGGCUUUUUCAUUUCCUUGGUGACAGACCAGAUUAGACUAGACUAAAAGUAGAUAAAGACAGGUUUACUAGGAAGCAGCUCUCAGGUGGGUUCGUAGAUCUCACAGGUAGAGGUCAGUGAAGUCAAACAUCCAGGCUAAAACAAGGAUGUUUUAUGGACUGGGGUGGUGACAUGUGAGCUAAGAGCUGAGAUUCUGUCCAUACAUGGUCAAAAAUUGAAUGGCUGGGUAGGCAUUCUUCUGUGGGUUGCCAGAAAUUUGGAGACAAGGAGUGAUGACAUGUUAGCUUGAGUUUUCUUCAAGCAGGUAGGAAAUAGGAUAGGAAAAGAAGAUCAGAUAAAGUUUCCCAGCUUGUACAGAAUAAGCAGGAGAUCCAGCCUAAUAGUUGUAUGGUCAACAUUGGGCCUGCCUUUCUCUUUUUACCUCCAUUCUUCCUUCCAGUCUUUCUUUCUAAUUUAAACUAGGAAGCCUAUUGAACACUGAGCACAUCAGUAAAAUAACCCAGGUGCGACAGUCAAGAGCUCAUGAUAAAUCAGAUCCCAGGCCUACAGAAAUCAAUCAUACCCAAUCUGUGAUUUGUCAGAGCUUAUAGCCCAUGUAGAAGAUACAUUGUAGACAAAUAAUUCUACCACCACAUGACCUGCACUGUGCAUUCAACAGUCUUAUGCAAGCAGAUGAGCCCUAGGUUGUGUGUAUGCCUAUGCAUGCGUGUGUAUGUGUGUGUGUGGGGUGGGGAGGAUAGGUUUCAGAGUCAGAUAGGAUUUACUAUGUUUUUUUUCUAGUUAUUUGACCCUGAGCUACAUUGAAUUUCUUUCUAUCAAAUUAAUGUACAGGAAAAAUGAGCUUCAUUACACAAAGAGCUCUCUUCAUAUUUUGCAGGGAACACCAGUUGCUACUAGCAAAGAAGGAGAAUGUUCACAGAAGAGGAAUGAGUGGAAAGAAGGUUUGAUACCACUGGGUAAAAUGAUUGUGAGAAAAGAAAUUUCAUAUAUGGGGAACAACACACACAACCUGGAAGCAUGACAGAAACUUGCCUUAUUUGGAAAAUUUAUAGGGAAUUUGCACUGUGGUACCAAGGAAUGGUGAAAGAUGCAGGAAAUGAAAAGCAAGAAGUGGGCAAUUUAUAAGUCUUAAAGUUCUAAGGAGACCAUGCUGUUGUCUGCCACACCCACUCCAGUGAAUUCUGUGUGUGAAGCUUGGCCACAGUCCUGAGGCAAAAAGUUUCACAGAAACUUGUCUGCUGGAGAGUCUCUGGUGCCCCAUAACCAGAUUUGUCCCUAAGAUAGGGUGGAGGGUCUUUCAUGCUUUCUUAGAGUAUUUUACUAGAUAAGAGCUAAAAAAUCUCAGGGCAAGUUCUACAAAGAAAACUUAGAAUUACAGCCGAGGCACUCCCAUAUGCAGGAAUUUACAAUGGCCUAAGAAGAAGGAGGGUUGUGGCUUAAGGAGGAACUACAGUAUUACAUUAUUCAUGAGCAAGAGCAGAACCCCCUGGUGCAAGCUUUCAAAAGGCUCAGAGGAAUAGCAUAAAUUGUGACUAGAGUGUGAAAUCCUCACCUGGCUCCCUAAUGGCUAACUUUAGAAAGGGCUGCCUUUUAUCUCAGUUGUAACCACUGCCUGGUUCCUGCUAGUAUUUAUGUAUGCAUUUCUCUGUUUUUUGCAAGAUAAUAUCAAUGUACCUUGGCUGAUGUGUCACCUAACUUCUUUGUUUUCUUCUGUAAUAUAAGUCUGAUGCUCA